GACGAACGCUGGCGGCGUGCUUAACACAUGCAAGUCGAACGGAAAGGCCCUGCUUUUGUGGGGUGCUCGAGUGGCGAACGGGUGAGUAACACGUGAGUAACCUGCCCUUGACUUUGGGAUAACUUCAGGAAACUGGGGCUAAUACCGGAUAGGAGCUCCUGCUGCAUGGUGGGGGUUGGAAAGUUUCGGCGGUUGGGGAUGGACUCGCGGCUUAUCAGCUUGUUGGUGGGGUAGUGGCUUACCAAGGCUUUGACGGGUAGCCGGCCUGAGAGGGUGACCGGCCUCAUUGGGACUGAGAUACGGCCCAGACUCCUACGGGAGGCAGCAGUGGGGAAUAUUGCACAAUGGGCGGAAGCCUGAUGCAGCAACGCCGCGUGCGGGAUGACGGCCUUCGGGUUGUAACCGCUUUCGCCUGUGACGAAGCGUGAGUGACGGUAAUGGGUAAAGAAGCACCGGCUAACUACGCG
rnacentral:rRNA from 1 species